GCCUAAAUUAAGCUUUACCUUAAGUGGACAAAAGUACUUUUUUGCAGAUCAGAGCUGCUGUUAGACUUUAUAGGCUAACCAUCACUGCUUCCAACAAACAAUAGGUUUUCUACUUUCAUGCCAAUAUUGAAGUUUUUAUCUGAUCAAGUUUUUAUCUGAUCAAGUGUUUACAUAAAUGCUGUCACCACUGUCACCUGAUUGUUCUGCACGCCUAAUUUAAUAUAUAUAACUUAUACCUUACUGAUAACUGCACAGUAUUGUAUUUUUCCUCUCUGUUAUUGUAAAUCCCUUUCAGCCUUUUUGUGAUUGUUUUUUGCACUUUGUUUCUUAUAGCUUUUAGUUUGGGUAAGUUUUCCACUUUUUUAGAUAAAUAUGAACCUGUGUACUUUCAUUGCCUUAUGGUUUGGUGCUGACACACUCAAAUGUUCCUAUUGUGGAACAAUAAAGGUUUUCUAUUCUAAUUAAUUGAGAGAGGUAACCAUGACUUCUGAGAUCACGCAUAACCAAGUUACUGUUUGAAAAUGUAAUCUACAUUAUACUUUCAAAGAAGAAUAAACACUUCUGAUUUGGAAAAUUAACUUUAUGUUAUAAAUCACCACAGGCAAAAUAUGGCAUACUUAACCAUCUAAGAACUUGUAACAAAGAACAUUAAAAUAGAACCUAUUUCUGGUCAGGAAUAUCAAACCAUGGCAAAAUGUAUUUGCCUUUUGAUCUGGGCUUCUCAGAAAUGUUCCCCCAAAAUGUGUUGAUUCACAGCAUUCAGUCUGCUGUGUAUAACACUGCAUGUGGUUGUAUUGUCUUCUUUUCAGACACAGUCUUCACUAUAUUUGCCAGGUCAUCAUAAAGCUCCCACACACAUGGAGCUCUUCGGCAGUAUGCAAUGUAAUGUCCCAGACCAUCUUUAGUCAAGCUUCCCUUGAAAGCGAUGACUCCUCUCAAAGAGAAUGUCUUUCCUUGGAGAGCAACAGUGGGGGGAAAUUCACUCAAAGGAAACUGAGUUGUGUUUGCAAGUGGGCGAAGGCAGGGAGACUCCGGAAGGAAGAGUCCAUUUUCCACUGAAAUGUCAAGCUGAGCCAUGCCAGAGUCCAUCAGCACAGAAAUGUCUGGAGAAACAAAUGAUGGAUCUGCAUGGAGCCAUUCAGUGCAGGAAGUGAGAUAAGAAGUUCUCUUCCUUUUUUUGGGUGGAAGAAUUAGUCCCCUCCAGUUUUCAACCACGUCUUCAUCUGUUGGAGGAAUGUUUGUGGUUUCAUCGGAUUCUACAGAUUGAACAAAUCCGCAUAUUUCCUUCAAUAAAGGAAAGAUGACGAGAAAUAAAGCGAUCAACUCGAAUGGGUAAGUUCUCGUGUUUAAAAAGGCCAUGCUUUACAUUUUUGAAUUCUGCUUCAACAGUGGCUGAGCUUGCUGUGAGGUUGGUGCUUUUGAAGAGGGGGACCAUUACUCCUGUCCAAAGUGCCGCGUAGAUAUUGUUUGCACAUCUCUGAUUCGAGAGGGACUCCAGAACUAUCAUCACCCUCUGCCUCACUGAGGGCCACAACAGUGAUGGCA